GACGAACGCUGGCGGCGUGCCUAAUACAUGCAAGUCGAACGCAUUGGGGACGGGUGAGUAACACGUGGGUAACCUCCCAUCAGAGGGGAUAACACUUGGAAACAGGUGCUAAACCGAUACUGAUGGAUGGACCCGCGGUGCAUUAGCUAGUGGGUGAGCUAACGGCGCACCACGGCCACGAUGCAUAGCCAUGCUGAGAGGGUGCACGUCCAUACUGGGACUGAGACACGGCCCAGACUCCUACGGGAGGCAGCAGUAGGGAAUCUUCGGCAAUCGACGAAAGUCUGACCGAGCAAUGCCGCGUGAGUGAAGAAGGUUUUCGGAUCGUAAAACUCUGUUGUUAGAUAAGCGGUAUCUAGCCAGAAAGCCACGGCUAACUACGUGCCAGCAGCCGCGGUAAUUC
rnacentral:rRNA from 1 species